rnacentral:tRNA from 1 species
GGGUGUAGUUCAAUGGUAGAACGCCAGCUUCCCAAGCUGGACACGAGGGUUCGAUUCCCUUCACCC